CCUACGGGUGACUGCAGUGAGGAAUAUUGGUCAAUGGACGAGAGUCUGAACCAGCCAAGUAGCGUGAAGGAUGACUGCCCUAUGGGUUGUAAACUUCUUUUAUAUGGGAAUAAAAUGUUCCACGUGUGGGAUUUUGUAUGUACCAUAUGAAUAAGGAUCGGCUAACUCCGUGCCAGCAGCCGCGGUAAUACGGAGGAUCCGAGCGUUAUCAGGAUUUAUUGGGUUUAAAGGGAGCGUAGGUGGAUUGUUAAGUCAGUUGUGAAAGUUUGCGGCUCAACCGUAAAAUUGCAGUUGAAACGGGCAGUCUUGAGUACAGUAGAGGUGGGCGGAAUUCGUGGUGUAGCGGUGAAAUGCUUAGAUAUCACGAAGAACUCCGAUUGCGAAGGCAGUUCACUGGACUGCAACUGACACUGAGGCUCGAAAGUGUGGGUAUCAAACAGGAUUAGAUACCCUGGUAGUC
rnacentral:rRNA from 1 species